UACGUAGGGUGCAAGCGUUGUCCGGAAUUAUUGGGCGUAAAGAGCUCGUAGGCGGCUUGUCGCGUCGGAUGUGAAAGCCCGGGGCUUAACUCCGGGUCUGCAUUCGAUACGGGCAGGCUAGAGUUCGGUAGGGGAGAUCGGAAUUCCUGGUGUAGCGGUGAAAUGCGCAGAUAUCAGGAGGAACACCGGUGGCGAAGGCGGGUCUCUGGGCAGUAACUGACGCUGAGGAACGAAAGCGUGGGUAGCGAACAGG
rnacentral:rRNA from 1 species